rnacentral:rRNA from 1 species
CCUACGGGUGGCUGCAGUGGGGAAUAUUGGACAAUGGGCGCAAGCCUGAUCCAGCAAUACCGCGUGUGUGAAGAAGGCCUUAGGGUUGUAAAGCACUUUCAAUGGGGAGGAAAACCUACCGGUCAAUACCCGGUAGCUUGACAUUACCUGUAGAAGAAGCACCGGCUAACUCCGUGCCAGCAGCCGCGGUAAUACGGAGGGUGCUAGCGUUAAUCGGAGCGACUGGGGGUGGAGCGUUAAGUCGCAUGUGAAAGCCCCGGGCUUAACCUGGGAACUGCAUUUGAAACUGGCGGACUAGAGUUGAGUAGAGGGGAGUGGAAUUUCAGGUGUAGCGGUGAAAUGCGUAGAUAUCUGAAGGAACACCAGUGGCGAAGGCGACUCCCUGGACUCAAACUGACGCUGAGGUACGAAAGCGUGGGUAGCAAACAGGAUUAGAUACCCCGGUAGUC